rnacentral:rRNA from 1 species
UUAAGCAUAUCAAUAAGCGGAGGAAGAGAAACUAACAAGGAUUCCCCCAGUAACGGCGAGCGAAGUGGGAAGAGCUCGAGCCUUUAAUCUCUGGCAGCUGCUGCCAGCGAGUUGUGGCCUGGAGAAGGUGACUUUGUCCCGUGUUUGCGGCGUCGAGGUUGACCUGGAAGGGCACGUCGUAGAGGGUGAGAGCCCCGUGCGCGGCCUCGCGGACCGGGACAACGGUGGCCUUCGGAGAGUCGGGUUGUUUGGGAAUGCAGCCCAAAUGUGGUGGUAAACUCCACCUAAAGCUAAAUACGGGCACGAGACCGAUAGCGAACAAGUACCAUGAGGGAAAGGUGAAAAGCACUUUGAAAAGAGAGUCAAAGAGACCGCGAAACCGUUGGGAGGGAAACGAACGUGGCCAUGAAGACUCCCUUCAGGUUCAGGGAGCCUCGGUUUGGGCGUUUGCGGAGUUGGGGACCCGUGUUCGGGCCCCGCCCCGCAAGUCCUUCCAGGCUUCUGCAAUCCCGUUUGGAGUCCGCCAACGGCGGCCGCUCGCGGUCGAGGAGGGUCGUGGGGCAGGUGCCUCUUCGUCGAGCCCCUCGCGGGUUUGGGGAGGAGAACUUAGAGCCUUCGGCCCGGUAGACCGGGGGCGGCCGAGGAGCGUUGCGACCCAGUCGCACGGCGCAGCGCAGGCUCCGCAGGGGCCGGGUCGCUUCUGGACUUGCGUGCUCCGCGGCGAGCCACUGCCCGCAGUGACAGCCGACGGUGGGUGCGCUUGUGCGGGAGACGGACCACGAUUUGCGCUUCGGUCGUUGGCGUGCGUAUGGCUCCGUCCGACCCGUCUU